rnacentral:rRNA from 1 species
AUGCAUUGGCUAUCUUGGGAGAAACUUGCAUCACCGAAGUGUCAGGGUGGAAUGGGCUUUCGCGACGUUGAGUUAUUCAACUUGGCACUACUUGGCAAGCAUGGAUGGAGGUUUAUUACAAACCCUAACUCUUUAUGUGCCCAAGUGAUGAAGGGGCGCUAUUUUCCGGAUUGUGAUUUCAUGGAGAUCGCGGUACCUCAGACGUCUUCAGCUAUCUGGCGAGCAAUUAUCGCCGGGAGGGAAGCUCUCCAUGUUGGUCUCAUUAAGAGGGUGGGGGACGGCAUCACUAUCUCCAUUUGGAAAGAUAAGUGGAUCCCGGGCCUCUCCUCUUUGUGCCCUACGGUGAUGUCGGAAGGGAAGACCCUUGCCACCGCCGAUGAGCUCAUCGAUCAUAACAACUAG